rnacentral:rRNA from 1 species
AGUUUGAUCCUGGCUCAGAACGAACGCUGGCGGCGUGGAUUAGGCAUGCAAGUCGAACGCGAAAGGGGAGCAAUCCCCGAGUAGAGUGGCGAACGGGUGAGUAACACGUGAGAAACCUGCCUUCAGCAGGGGGAUAACACUCCCAACGGGGUGCUAAUACCGCAUGAGACCACGGGGUCGCAUGGCCCUGAGGUCAAAGGUGGCCUCUGCUUGCAAGCUACCGGCUGAAGAUGGUCUCGCGUCCCAUUAGCUAGUUGGUGGGGUAAUGGCCUACCAAGGCGACGAUGGGUAGCUGGUCUGAGAGGAUGGUCAGCCACACUGGGACUGAGAUACGGCCCAGACUCCUACGGGAGGCAGCAGUCGAGAGGCUUUGGCAAUGGGGGAAACCCUGACCAAGCGACGCCGCGUGGAGGAUGAAGGCCCUUGGGUUGUAAACUCCUUUUGUUGGGGAAGAAAUGCGAUCAGGUGAACAAUCUGGUCGUUUGACGGUACCCGACGAAUAAGCUCCGGCUAACUCCGUGCCAGCAGCCGCGGUAACACGGGGGGGGAGCAAGGCGUUGUUCGGAAUCACUGGGGCGUAAAGGGGCGUGUAGGCGGUCGAGUAAGUGGAAUGUGAAAUCCCUCGGCUCACCCGGAGGACGUCUGCAUAUCCAUACCCUGCUCGGGCUCGAGAUAUGGGAGAGGGAUGAGGGAAAUCUCUGGGUGGUAGCGCGGUGAAAUGCUGUAGAGAUAUCAGGGAGGAACACCGGUUGGGCAGAAAGCGCCUCAAUCUUGGCCCAUAACUCGACGCUGAAGGCGCCGAAAAGCUUGAGGGGGAGCCAAACGGGGAUAAGAUACCCCCGGGUAGUCCCUAACCCGGAAACCGGUGAUCCACUAGGGUGUUGGAGAGGCAUCCGACCCCUCUCACGGGCCGCCAGCCUAAACGUCAUUAAACGUGAUCCCCCCUGGGAGAAUACCGCCCCCCAUAGGUUGAAACCUCUAAAAGGAAUUUGACCGGGGCGCCCGCCCAGAAGCGCGGUGGGACCAUGGGUUUAAUUUCGACCCAACGCGAAGGACCUUUCCCCAGACUUGACCUGCAAGCGGACGGAGUGUGGAAACCCCCUUUCCCUUUCGGGCCGGUUGCACAGGUGGUGCCAUGGCUGUCGUCAAGCUUGUGUCGUGAAGAUGUUGGGUUUAAGUCCCCCCAACGAGCGCAACCCUUGUCCUUAGUUGCUAACGGGGCCAAGCUGAGCACUCUAAGGAGACUGCCCGGUGGUAAACCGGGAGGAAGGUGGGGAUGACGUCAAGUCCUCAUGGCCCUUACGUCUGGGGCUACACACGUGCUACAAUGGCCGGUACAAAGGGUCCCGAUACCGCGAGGUGGAGGUAAUCCCAAAAAACCGGUCUCAGUUCGGAUUGCAGUCUGCAACUCGACUGCAUGAAGUUGGAAUCGCUAGUAAUCGCUGAUCAGCAGGCAGCGGUGAAUACGUUCCCGGGCCUUGUACACACCGCCCGUCAAGCCACGAAAGUUGGUAGUACCCGAAGUCGGUGUGCCAACCGUAAGGGGCAGCCGCCUAAGGUAAGACCAGUGAUUGGGGCUAAGUCGUAACAAGGUAACC